GAAUCUGCCUGGUAGUGGGGGACAACGUUUCGAAAGGAACGCUAAUACCGCAUACGUCCUACGGGAGAAAGCAGGGGACCUUCGGGCCUUGCGCUAUCAGAUGAGCCUAGGUCGGAUUAGCUAGUUGGUGGGGUAAUGGCUCACCAAGGCGACGAUCCGUAACUGGUCUGAGAGGAUGAUCAGUCACACUGGAACUGAGACACGGUCCAGACUCCUACGGGAGGCAGCAGUGGGGAAUAUUGGACAAUGGGCGAAAGCCUGAUCCAGCCAUGCCGCGUGUGUGAAGAAGGUCUUCGGAUUGUAAAGCACUUUAAGUUGGGAGGAAGGGCAUUAACCUAAUACGUUAGUGUUUUGACUUUUCUUUCUGAAUAAGCACCGGCUAACUCUGUGCCAGCAUCCGCGGUAAUACAGAGGGUGCAAGCGUUAAUCGGAAUUACUGGGCGUAAAGCGCGCGUAGGUGGUUUGUUAAGUUGGAUGUGAAAGCCCCGGGCUCAACCUGGGAACUGCAUCCAAACUGGCAAGCUAGAGUACAGUA
rnacentral:rRNA from 1 species